rnacentral:rRNA from 1 species
UCUUGGUCAUUUAGAGGAAGUAAAAGUCGUAACAAGGUUUCCGUAGGUGAACCUGCGGAAGGAUCAUUAAUGAAUAUAAUUCGGUCGGCGGGAAGGAGGGAGCUGUCGCUGGCCCUUUGGGCAUGUGCACGCUCUCUUUGGAACGUUGGGUCGUCUUUUCAUAUUUUCACCAGUGCACCUAAUGUAGGAUGCCUCUCCUCCGGGAGGGGGGACCUAUGUCUUUUUCAGACGCCCACAGUUUAGAAAGUCUCAGAAUGUUUUACUAUCGUUCGAGCCGCGACUUCCAGGAGACGCGGGUCGGCGAGAUAAAAGUUAUUACAACUUUCAGCAACGGAUCUCUUGGCUCUCGCAUCGAUGAAGAACGCAGCGAAUUGCGAUAUGUAAUGUGAAUUGCAGAUCUACAGUGAAUCAUCGAAUCUUUGAACGCACAUUGCGCUCCUCGGUGUUCCGAGGAGCAUGCCUGUUUGAGUGUCAGUAAAUUCUCAACCCCUCUCGAUUUGUUUCGAGGGGGAGCUUGGAUAGUGGGGGCUGCCGGAGACCUGGACUGGCGUCCUGGACUUGGGCUCUCCUGAAAUGCAUCGGCUUGCGAUUGACUUUCGACUUUGCGCGACAAGGCUUUCGGUGUGAUAUUGAUCGCCGUCUUCCGAAGCGCAUGAAGGAAGGUCUUGUGCCUCCAACACGUCGACGGCAACGUCUUCCUUCUUUAUGUUUGACCUCAAAUCAGGUAGGACUACCCGCUGAACUUAAGCAUAUCAAUAAGCGGAGGAAAAGAAACUAACAAGGAUUCCCCUAGUAACUGCGAGUGAAGCGGGAAAAGCUCAAAUUUUGAAUCUGGUGGUCUUUUAUGGCCGUCCGAGUUGUAAUCUAGAGAAGCGUUUUCUACGCUGGACCGUGUACAAGUUUCCUGGAAUGGAACGUCAUAGAGGGUGAGAAUCCA